CCCUUAGAUGUCCUGGGCCGCACGCGCGCUACACUGAAGGGAUCAGCGUGGCUUUCUCCCUGACCCGAAAGGGUUGGGAAACCCGUUGAAUCUCCUUCGUGAUAGGGAUAGGGACUUGCAAUUGUUUCCCUUGAACGAGGAAUUCCCAGUAAGCGCAAGUCAUCAGCUUGCGUUGAUUACGUCCCUGCCCUUUGUACACACCGCCCGUCGCUACUACCGAUUGAAUGGUUUAGUGAGAUCCUUGGAUCGGCCCUGUCGCGGCUGGCAACGGCCGCGUCGGCGCGUCGAGAAGACGAUCAAACUUGAUCAUUUAGAGGAAGUAAAAGUCGUAACA
rnacentral:rRNA from 1 species